UGCCCAGCAACUCCUAUCUCUACCUCCUCGGGGUACCGGCCGGAAACUAUGAGCAACCUUAGGGAAGAUCGGGUAAUCAACCCCGGUGGGAACUUUGGUCAUAGGCUGACAGGGAAGG
rnacentral:ribozyme from 1 species